GACGAACCCUUUGCGGCGUGCUUAACACAUGCAAGUCGAACGGAAAGGCCCUGCUUUUGUGGGGUGCUCGAGUGGCAAACGGGUGAGUAACACGUGAGUAACCUGCCCUUGACUUUGGGAUAACUUCAGGAAACUGGGGCUAAUACCGGAUAGGAGCUCCUGCUGCAUGGUGGGGGUUGGAAAGUUUCGGCGGUUGGGGAUGGACUCGCGGCUUAUCAGCUUGUUGGUGGGGUAGUGGCUUACCAAGGCUUUGACGGGUAGCCGGCCUGAGAGGGUGACCGGCCACAUUGGGACUGAGAUACGGCCCAGACUCCUACGGGAGGCAGCAGUGGGGAAUAUUGCACAAUGGGCGGAAGCCUGAUGCAGCAACGCCGCGUGCGGGAUGACGGCCUUCGGGUUGUAAACCGCUUUCGCCUGUGACGAAGCGUGAGUGACGGUAAUGGGUAAAGAAGCACCGGCUAACUACGUGCCAGCAGCCGCGGUGAUACGUAGGGUGCGAGCGUUGUCCGGAUUUAUUGGGCGUAAAGGGCUCGUAGGUGGUUGAUCGCGUCGGAAGUGUAAUCUUGGGGCUUAACCCUGAGCGUGCUUUCGAUACGGGUUGACUUGAGGAAGGUAGGGGAGAAUGGAAUUCCUGGUGGAGCGGUGGAAUGCGCAGAUAUCAGGAGGAACACCAGUGGCGAAGGCGGUUCUCUGGGCCUUUCCUGACGCUGAGGAGCGAAAGCGUGGGGAGCGAACAGGCUUAGAUACCCUGGUAGUCCACGCUGUAAACGGUGGGUACUAGGUGUGGGGUCCAUUCCACGGGUUCCGUGCCGUAGCUAACGCUUUAAGUACCCCGCCUGGGGAGUACGGCCGCAAGGCUAAAACUCAAAGGAAUUGACGGGGCCCCGCACAAGCGGCGGAGCAUGCGGAUUAAUUCGAUGCAACGCGUAGAACCUUACCUGGGUUUGACAUGGAUCGGGAGUGCUCAGAGAUGGGUGUGCCUCUUUUGGGGUCGGUUCACAGGUGGUGCAUGCCUGUCGUCAGCUCGUGUCGUGAGAUGUUGGGUUAAGUCCCGCAACGAGCGCAACCCUUGUUCACUGUUGCCAGCACGUUAUGGUGGGGACUCAGUGGAGACCGCCGGGGUCAACUCGGAGGAAGGUGGGGAUGACGUCAAGUCCUCAUGCCCCUUAUGUCCAGGGCUUCACGCAUGCUACAAUGGCUGGUACAGAGAGUGGCGAGCCUGUGAGGGUGAGCGAAUCUCGGAAAGCCGGUCUCAGUUCGGAUUGGGGUCUGCAACUCGACCUCAUGAAGUCGGAGUCGCUAGUAAUCGCAGAUCAGCAACGCUGCGGUGAAUACGUUCCCGGGGCU
rnacentral:rRNA from 1 species